rnacentral:rRNA from 1 species
GACGCUCUCCCCAAGGACGAAGCCAUGCAUGCCCGCUCACCCGGGACGCGGCGGACGGCUCAGGACGACGGUUGCACCCCCCGCGGCGGUCCCUGCUAGCCGGACACCGCUGGCAACCCGGCGCCAAGA